ensembl:lncRNA
CAUUUUACAAUUACAUUCAUUUCGCAAUCCGUCCCUUUGCGCCAACUGGCGGUAGUUUCGCGAAUGAGUUUAACACGCGACCGACUUGCAGUUAACGCUGCGGCCCUGCGGCGGCGGUACGCGCGGCGGUAUUACCCAUUUUGGAUGUCUACCUACUGUAUACAUUACAUGCCAUGGUAGAUUUACACCCACAUUUGAUGGGUUGGCAGGUGUUUAUUUCAAAUGCUGCAUAAGUAUGUAACCAUGGUUCCCCAUUGAAAAACGCUUUGGGAACGCCUCUGCGUGACCGCGUUCUGAAGCACGUGUGGAAUCAGUCCAAAAGAGAAAUGAGAUGUCACGAGUGGGGUGACAUGAGCAACCAGGAAGCAUAAAAGCGCAUUCCUGCAUAGCACAUGUUAGCUUCUGAUGACGUGAGCGCCUGCAGGGAUGCAGAGAUUAUGACAAGAAGACGCAGUGUCUCGUUCCCUCUAAGGAGCACAGCACUGAUUAAAGGCAUCCAUUCGGUUAUCCUUUAGGUGGCUCCCGUAUGUCACUUCAUGGACGGCGUGUAUCGGAGCCCCAGAACAUUUCAUGGGGAGUCCGACGCUGUCCGCCCCACCAACCCGGACCUGGGUCCAACUACUCAGGGGUCCAAACGGGAGCACCCCAAAUCCCUAAGACCUCCAAAAGCAGUUCAGCCAUGUUCCACAGCAGGGCGCCACCACAUCCCACUUCAGACCUAUUGCAUAGGGGGUUUCCCCAUUCAAAUAAGUUGGAAGUGGACGCUUUUUAGGCGGUACUCCCGUCCCGCUUACCUGCUAUUCAUUCAUUUCCCAGACACUUUGGCAUGCAGAACCCCAUCCUGCUUACCUGCCAUUUGUCCAUUUCCUAUCGAGGUCAGCAUGUUGACCACUGCUGACCACUAUGUGGCCCUGUCCCUAUCCCACGAACCUAUUAUGUGUCCCGUCCAAGGAUCAGACAUGAAGUUUCCAGAGGUCUGGACACGGGUGCCACAGGGUGCCCCAUCUCUGAGUCAGUAGAUCCUCCCUCAGAGGAAUCUGCCAGGGACGACCUGUCACGAGGACCAACAGUUCCGGAAACCAGGUACGAGUCGGCCAAUAGGGAACCACAAGCAGGACCUGCUCCUCGUCCUCCCUGACUUUGCACAGUGUCUGUGUAAGAAGGCUCACUAGGGGAAAUGCAUAUUUGCACAGGCCCCGAGGCCAGCUGUGUGCCAGUGCGUCUAUGCCAAGUGUUCCUUCGGUCAGGGAGUAGAACAACUUGCAGUGAGAGGUCAAAAUGAAACGUCUCCAAAUCAGCUGGACCGUCC